rnacentral:lncRNA from 1 species
GCUCCUGAAGAAUGUGAACUAUGUCUUUCAUCUUUAGAGCCCUGGAGUCUGGCACGUAGGGAGGAGCAAGGUGCAGUCUGCAGCAAGCCCUCUCCUGUCAACCAGCUGCUAUCACUCACUGGAGGAGGAUAGAGCGAUUCCUGUAACAGUGUGGGACAAAGCAAGAGCCACAAAGCUGGAUUUUAAAACAAUAUAUAAACUUAAAUGACUGAUCUUAAUAUUUUACAAAUGAAGUUGGAGAAUGGGAAAGAAGCUUUGAAGAUUGUCCCUUUAAGCUAGGUCAGAGAGAGGCCACGUUUCCAGGAAACCAGAACACCAAAUUAAUUUAACCAACAUUACUUUAAAAAAUAUACCAAUUCUGGCAAAAAAAAAAAAAAAAAGAAGGAAAGAAAGUAUAUCAAAUCAAUUGUCUUAUGUGUAAGUGUCUGCUUAGUGGUUUUGUGGUGUAGAUGAAUAGUAAGAAAGGCCAGCAUCCUCUUAUUUACUAUCACCACAGUGAAUUAAUUUAAAC